rnacentral:lncRNA from 1 species
AGUUUUGGAGAUAUUAGGAGCAAAAAUAAAGUUUAAAGAGAUGAACUAAGCUAUGUAAUAAAGAGGAACCAAAAGUGAGAAGAGAAGGCGUCCUGCAAGUACAUCUAAGUAUUGUUGCAUCGAAGUUGCUUGGCUGAUGCCGAAUGUUCUGAAGAUACCAAUGUGAUCUACAAGUACAUCGAAAUAUUGCAUCAUUGUUUUUUAUCCUUGUGUAUGAGAUGUUUUAAAAUCAGAUUCGAUCCGGUUUGUCCAAGAUCGACCUGGUUUGUGUCCACUACUCUUCUCUAAACGUUC